rnacentral:rRNA from 1 species
UACGUAGGGCGCGAGCGUUGUCCGGAUUUAUUGGGCGUAAAGAGCUCGUAGGCGGCUUGUCGCGUCAACUGUGAAAACCCGUGGCUCAACCAUGUGGUCUGCAAGUCGAUACGGGCAGGGCUAGAAUUCGGUAGGGGAGACUGGAAUUCCUGGUGUAGCGGUGAAAUGCGCAGAUAUCAGGAGGAACACCGGUGGCGAAGGCGGGUCUCUGGGCCGAUAUGACGUGAGGAGCGAAAGCGUGGGGAGCAACAGG